rnacentral:rRNA from 1 species
GAUGAACGCUGGCGGCGUGCCUAAUACAUGCAAGUCGAGCGAACAGAUGAGGAGCUUGCUCCUCUGACGUUAGCGGCGGACGGGUGAGUAACACGUGGAUAACCUACCUAUAAGACUGGGAUAACUUCGGGAAACCGGAGCUAAUACCGGAUAAUAUAUUGAACCGCAUGGUUCAAUAGUGAAAGACGGUUUUGCUGUCACUUAUAGAUGGUUCCGCGCCGCAUUAGCUAGUUGGUAAGGUAACGGCUUACCAAGGCAACGAUGCGUAGCCGACCUGGGAGGGUGAUCGGCCACACUGGAACUGAGACACGGUCCAGACUCCUACGGGAGGCAGCAGUAGGGAAUCUUCCGCAAUGGGCGAAAGCCUAACGGAGCAACGCCGCGUGAGUGAUGAAGGUCUUCGGAUCGUAAAACUCUGUUAUUAGGGAAGAACAAAUGUGUAAGUAACUAUGCACGUCUUGACGGUACCUAAUCAGAAAGCCACGGCUAACUACGUG